rnacentral:tRNA from 1 species
GGGGCGUUAGCUCAGUUGGUUAGAGCAGAGGACUCAUAAUCCUUUUGUCCUGGGUUCAAGUCCCAGACGCCCUACCC